rnacentral:rRNA from 1 species
GCAAGUCGAACGAGAAAGUAUCUUCGGAUACGAGUAGAGUGGCGCACGGGUGAGUAACGCGUGGGAAAUUACCUAAUAGUGGGGGAUAACAAUUGGAAACGAUUGCUAAUACCGCAUACGCCCUUCGGGGGAAAGAUUUAUCGCUAUUAGAUAUGCCCGCGUUAGAUUAGUUAGUUGGUGGGGUAAAGGCCUACCAAGGCUACGAUGGAUAGCUGGUUUGAGAGAAUGAUC